UACAGAGGGUGCGAGCGUUGUCCGGAAUCACUGGGCGUAAAGGGCGCGUAGGUGGCCCGACAAGUCUGUGGUGAAAGCUCGACGCUCAACGUCGAGUCGGCCAUAGAUACUGUUGGGCUGGAGCACUGUAGAGGCUCAUGGAAUUCCGGGUGUAGCGGUGGAAUGCGUAGAGAUCCGGAAGAACACCGGUGGCGAAGGCGGCUCUCUGGGACGGUACUGACGCUGAGACGGCGAAAGCGU
rnacentral:rRNA from 1 species